GAAGUAUCGCUACGUAUUAUCUUUGCUUCUACUCUUCCCUAAGCAUCCACAGAAGGCUACUGUCAGAGACAGACCUUUGUUCUGACCUGGGUUGGCUGCUCUUAUGUUCCUGUCUUGCCAGCAUUUACACAGCUCCACGAACAUGUGCAUAUUGGCGAGCUAGAAAGCUUUUUGGAUACUGUGUCUGUGUAUAAACAAGACAUUCUUUCUUCUGUAUUUUCCCUGUCUUAUUAAUGGAUCCUGACAAAAAUUCUUCUAUGGGAUUGCUGUCAUCAAGCAACUCUGGACCAUCAUUUUCUCCCAUCAACAGAAAUCUCCUCAAGAGGUGUUUACAAGACUGCCAUAGAGAGCCUCCAACACAGUCUAUGUUUGUUCAUCCUUGUGCCACUGUGACUAGUAAAUUAAAUUAAACUGAC
rnacentral:lncRNA from 1 species